AGGGAUACAAAUCAAAUUUUGAGUUGAAUGAGAUUAAAUUUAGUUUUAUAUAUAUUUUGAUUGGUCAAAUUUUAUUGGAUAAUAGGCUUGAUUGGAUCAAGUCCUAUUAUCAAAUACUUCCCUAAUAUUCAUUAAGCUGAGAAGAAUCAAUCCUUGGAUCAAUGGGGUUUUAAUCUAACUAAUUCUUUAAUUGGAUUGGAGCCUAAUUGAUUUCAUAAUUGGACUAGAAUCUAAUUAGUU
rnacentral:lncRNA from 1 species